rnacentral:lncRNA from 1 species
GUGCAAACACUUCCAGAGCAUUUUUUUAAUAGCAAAAAAAAAAAAAAAAAAAACAACGAGGAACUCGGCCCAAGGCAGAAACGCAUUGCAGGAGCUGGGAUCUGGAAGUUUCCAUCGCAUCCCGCAGCACGCUGCCUGCUCCCACCGACCGGGCGCCGUGACGGGCGCUGCCCGCGUGUGCCCCCCGGCCCGCGGAGCCCCGGCCGCCGGGUGAAGGGCCGGGCUGGGGGCUGCCCGCGGUGCGAAACACCUCCCGUCUGCCCCGGUGGAUGUGCUUAGAUACAAAUGUUUAUAUCCGCGGAUAUGCGAGUAUCCGGCUAUUGUCGCAUCCAGCUACUAAAUAACAACCCUUUAACAAAAAAAAAAAAAAAAAAAAAAGGAAAAAGAAAAAAGAAAAAAAAAAUCCAAAACAAAACACCCCACACAAGCCAUAACGACGAUGAUGAUGCUGACGGGAGGGGGGGGGAAAUAAAUAAAUAAAAGCGAGCGAGAGUCGGCGAGGGAGAGGGAGGCAGGUUCAAUUAUCUAAACAAAGAAAUCAUGGCGGAGUGUUUACAUUUGGCUGCCCAAAGCCUGUCGGAUUACGGACCCCCCCCCAAACACACCCGGCCCCCCCGGCCCCCCGCAGUAGCGGCGUGCCGCAGCCCGCCCGCCGACACCUCGCCGCGGCCCGGAGUCUGAAACAGCUGCUUUGAAGAGAUCUUUCACAUGAAUGACUAGGCUGUGAAUUGCUAAGUUCCUGGUUUGCUAUGGAUACAACUGUUUCAUUUUCCUGCUGCUGCAUCCUGUUAUUCUUCCCAAGAUUUUUGUGCAGAACAGGGCAGAGAGAACUCACCUGCAGCCAGUGGAUUUGACUGUUGAUAAGAAGGAACAGAUGGCAGCACCAUUCUGUCUCAGCACCAAACACUGUCUGGGAGAUGUAUGCAAUGUAAAAAGCAUCCCUGUGUGGAGAAGCAGAUAGUGCUCCUGCAAAGGGACAAGAGGAAACCAGGAACAAGCUGUUGAUCUCUGUAAGUUUCAUUAGCUCUCUCACGUCCCCUCCUUUAUUUCUCUUCAGUAAAGUAGUCAGCCUCAGUCUUCACAGACUUUCCUUCAGCCACUAAUCAUUUUUGUUGCCCCUUUCUAUUUCAGCUUUAUGUUUUUUUUAGAUGAGUUGAAUGUAGCUUAAUACAGGAUUUCUGACAGGAUACAAUAUCCAGCUAUUCAGUGACGUAACACUUGAGCAUUAAUUUCUGUCUCAUUCUUUAUACAGUCCAACAGUGUAUUUACUUUUUCUGACCACUGCUUCCAGUUGUUUUGCUUUUUCAUUGAGCUGUCCAAAGUGGCACGUUUUCUCCUCCUUCUCUUUUUCCCGAGUGGCUAGUUAAUUUACAGCCAAGCGUUGUGCAUGAGUAUUGAAAAUUAUUCAUUCAAAUGUGCAUUACCUUGCAUUUAUGAACAGUGAAUUUCAUCUGUCUUCAUGCUGCGCAUCUGUCUAGUUUUUCUAAUCUUUUGUAAUCAUAAGUAACCUAAAUAUUUUUGCGCCCUGUGCAAAUUUUAUCCCCUUCCCCUCUCUUUUGCAGAAUGCUAAUGAAUAUAUUAAACAACACCAGUCCUAAUACUGACUACUGCAGCACUUUAUGGUGAGCCUUUUAGCAAGCUAGCAAUCAACAAUUUAUUUCUACCCUUUUGUUUCUGUCUUUGGCUGUCUUUGUUUAACAAACAUUUAUUUUCAAAGCAUUACUAUUUCCAAGUGUUCUGUUGAGAGCCCUCCCACAGAGUGCAGGGACAAAUGCAUGACUCUGACCCCACAUGUCCAGUGACAUCUAACACUGAUGCUCUAAAUACAGUGUUUGCAGGGCUGCUAAGGCUACAAGCAGGUCAACUCCACUGCAGAGCAGUAGACUUGAUUAGUCUCUGGAAAUAGAGAUGCAGGUACUGGCAGAUUUGACUCAGCCUAUUCCAUAUCCAAAAAGAAAAGGGAGAGGUGAGAGAGACUGAUUUAUGCAGCUUGCUGAAAAGAGACUUCUUUUUCUUUUUUUAAACCCUGGCUGUAAAAACAAAACUGCUGCCCAGCCAGAGUAAGCAGUCAUAUACCACAGGUCCCCUUACAGUAAGACUGAUGUUCUGCACUGAGGUUCAAGGAGCAAAACAAAUAACCCUGCUCCCAGUGCCAUGAUUUGAAUUUGCUUUCGGCCAGUUGGUUACCAGCUUUCAAGGGACCAUUGACAUGCCUAUGGUGCUGCCUGGAGCAAAUUGCAACAUAUUUGGUGCUGAAACAUGCAUUGUGUAGUGAUUAUUAUUAUCGUCAUAACCUCUGUUUCAUAUUUGAAUGCUGCUGGGACAUGGAGAACAAUGGUCAUCCCUUGCUUUGUUUUUCUUGCUUGGCUUUAAUGGCUGGGGUUUGAUUUUGUCAACAGACAGUACUUGUAACUUUUGUGAGCUUUAGUUUCUUCCAGCCAUUGAAAUUAAUUGUCUUGUAGCUCUUUGUCAGACAGAGAUGUGUUCGCUUUGUGAAUUGGAAAUUGAGAGAUGGAAGUAUUCUGACAGCUCCCAGGGAAGGAUGGAAACCCUCCUAUUCACAACCUACUCAUCACAGCACUGGGGAGAAGAUUCAUGUACCUAGUGCGACAGGAGGGGCAGAGCAGGGCAAGGACGUGGCAGCUUGCAUCAUUCCCCUGCUGCUGGCAAGGCAAGUCCCUUGCCACCAGCCACUCUCUGCACUCAGUUCCCCGCAGGGCUCCGUUUCCUGCCCUCACUCCUUCCUGUGCUUGAGUGGUGGCUCCUACCUUAAAGCAGCUAUUUUCAAGUUUUAAUAAUGUUUUGCAACUCAUUUCCUGUUUCUUAGCUGACAGCCUUUCCAAAAGUAAUCUUUGGCAGGUACUAAUUUGGGUGAUGACCACUUGAUCUACAUUUUUGGUGGGUAAUUACUGAGUCAGAAGUGAGCAAAUUUGAUAUCCCCUGACAGUCAGUAAGGCGGGCAUAUUUACUACCCACUCAUUAAAGAUUCACUGGUGGUGAAAUGCCCUAAAGUUUGCACUCCUCUCACACAUGAGAAAAAUUUGUCUGUUAAGUCCCAGAAGUUACCACUUACGUUUAUUUUGUCAGAUUUACAGAGUCUAAGAUAUGUUGGCACUUUGAAAAACAACUUUUUUUAAGACCAGAUACCUUGGUGUAAUGAAACUACCACUAGAUCAAAAGUCCAAUUGUAUCUGAGGCUGGAUAGCAUCCUGCAUCCCAUAACAAAUCUGUUCCACAGACAUGUUGUUUUACAGUGAUAACUGAAUCUCAAAAAUUUGGAGGUCUGAUUUGCACAAAUGCUGAUAAGUUCGCAAACCAAUGCCGAGCUCCUACAGCCACCAGAGCCAGGUUCAUUGGAAUGCUCUGGCAGCUUUGCUUCACUCUAGUGAUACAAAGCAGCUGUAAAUCCGGUUGUGCUGGCCUUACGUUGUCAGAAUGGCCAGAGUGUACCAGUGAGUCCUGCCCUCUGUACUGCUAUUGCAAUGAAAUUGGGCUGGGUAUCUACAAAGGGAAAAGGGAGGCUGUUCUGAGAUUAUCAGCACAGCUUGCUUCCUUGCAUUACUUUAGUACUAGUGUCUGCUUCCUAUAAGAUCCUGUGCAAAAGCGAGCGAAAAGAAAACAUAAUGUGGGAAGAAAUAGCCAGACUUCUUUUCAAAUGUCAAAUGUCAAAGAAAUUCAGAUUUAUUUUGAGUUUUAGAAGAAAUGUGGGAAAGGAAUAUUUGCCAGAUUCUUGCCCUCCCCUCCUGGCUUCUAUGAACUACCUUUCAAUUCCCUCUUCCCCAGUAAGUUUUCCCAAAUUGUAGAGAUCAAGUCCCUACUGCAAAUCCUCUGAGAAGUCACUUAAGUAGAUUGAGAAUCUAAAUGAAACUCAAUCUUUGUUUCUGAAGCAAGAAGUAGCUGGUAGAGUGUCUAGUUUUUUCCACUUUCCUUCCACGGUACCUAAAGAUAUUGAAGCUAUUAUGAACGUGACAAGGUACAAUACUUGCCUUAAAACCUCCAACAAUACCGUUUGUCUCCAUCUUACAACUUAUUCCUCAGCAUGGGCUGAGAACUUUUCCUGACCACUUGCACUUCCAGCUGUCCAUCAUUUGGCUUGUGCAUUGGUGUGCAUGCUCAGUCCCCCUCAGCUGUGCUUGUGGCAUCAUCACCUUUAUGACAGCACUGAGGAUAGAAUCCACAGUGCUUAGUAUGUGGCUCUUCAGGUUUCUUGUGAGCAAUAUUGAUUAAAUUCAUUUAGUCUCUUAAUGUGGUUUAAAUACAUAGGGUUGGUUGUCUGGUCCGUAUGCAGAGAGGACAGAAAACAGAUCCCCUAGAAUUCCAUCAGAAUUCAUUAGGGUUUUGAUGAAUAGCAACUGCUAAGAAAUUGUCUCCCAGGACUUGGAAAUUAGUCAGUACCGAACCAUACAGAUGUCAAAUCACCUAAAGAGAAAACUGAGAAAAGCUGGCUGAGAGAAUAAUCUGUUACUGAAAUCUGCAGAAUUGGUUUUUAAGGAAAAACAGAUAGAAAGAAAGAAAGAAAGAAAGAAAGAAAGAAAGAAAGAAAGAAAGAAAGAAAGAAAGAAAGAAGGAAGGAAGGAAGGAAGGAAGGAAGGAAGGAAGGAAGGAAGGAAGGAAGGAAGGAAGGAAGGAAGGAAGGAAGGAAGGAAGGAAAGAAAGAAAGAAAGAAAAAAAGAAAGAAAGAAAGAAAGAAAGAAAGAAAGAAAGAAAGAAAGAAAGAAAGAAAGAAAGAAAGAAAGAAAGAAAGAAAGAAAGAAGGAAAGAAAGAAAGAAGGAAAGAAAGAAGGAAAGAAAGAAAGAAAGAGAAAGAAAGAGAGAGAGAAAGAAAGAAAGAAAGAAAGAGAGAGAGAAAGAAAGAAAGAAAGAGAAAGAAAGAAAGAAAGAAAGAAAAAGAAAGAAAGAAAGAAAGAAAGAAAGAAAGAAAGAAAGAAAGAAGAAAGAAAGAAAGAAAGAAAGAAAGAAAGAAAGAAGGAAAGAAAGAAAGAAGGAAAGAAAGAAGGAAAGAAAGAAAGAAAGAGAAAGAAAGAGAGAGAGAAAGAAAGAAAGAAAGAAAGAGAGAGAGAAAGAAAGAAAGAAAGAGAAAGAAAGAAAGAAAGAAAGAAAAAGAAAGAAAGAAAGAAAGAAAAAGAAAGAAAGAAAGAAAGAAAGAAAGAAAGAAAGAAAGAAAGAAAGAAAGAAAGAAAGAAAGAAAGAAAGAAAGAAAGAAAGAAAGAGAAAGAAAGAGAAAGAGAAAGAGAGAAAGAGAAAGAAAGAGAGAAAGAGAGAGAGAGAGAGAGAAAGGAAGGAAGGAAGGAAGGAAGGAAGGAAGGAAGGAAGGAAGGAAGGAAGGAAGGAAGGAAGGAAGGAAGGAAGGAAGGAAGAAAGACAGGAAGAAAGAAAGACAGGAAGAAAGAAAGACAAAGAAAGAAAGGAAGAAAGGAAGAAAGGAAGAAAGGAAGAAAGAAAGAAAGAAAGAGAGAGAGAGAAAGAAAAAUACCCUCUGGUAUUUCCAGUCCCUGGGAUUGGACAUCCCACUUUCUUGGACUUGUAAAGAGCUUUCAGAGGGAGUAUGUGCAUAUGAAAUUAGCAGGGAGAAUAUUGAUUGUAGUCACUGAAUUUGAUUUCAUGGUUUGGAUUGAUUCAGUCUAAACACAUUGAGUUUGAAGGAUAUUCAACCACUUAUUUCUAAGUGGCAUUUUAUAAAAAUAUUACCCUGUAUUAACCCAGUGAACAGUAUUGUAAGUGGCACAGUUUAUGUUUAUUACACUUAUUGAACAGGCUCAAUAUUUCAUAUAAAAUAUAUGGUGGCAAUGGGAAAAAAUGCUUGUAAUUCUUCAAAACUGUAUCAGUCACUUCCUUCAUUGAACAUCCUGUCAAUAUGUGUGCUGUAUCGAAAGUAAAAUAUGCACUAAUCUAUAUAAUUGGCAAUGUGAUUAUCUUUUUAAUUGUGAAAACUAUGUAUGUAUCUUCUGUUUUGUGGUGAGGAAAAAAAAAAACAUCAAAAUAUCACCCUGUGUGAAGAAUGGCAAGGCAUGUUAUUUGGAAAGCCUUGUUCUAGUGAUCACCAGUGCAAGCAGUGCUGGUGGGCACCUGAACCGGUGGGACUGGGCUCCAAAUCCAGUUGGAGUUGCUGUGGGAUCCUUGUAUACCCACAUAAGAAGCAGGGCUGCUUUCUGGCACAGCUGCCCCCACAUGAUUUAAAUACAUGUUGAUUCUUGAGUGUGUUGUGUCCAUUAAAUGGAUGUAUUUUCCAAGUUAGGCAGCAUAUGCAAAUCAAGAACCUCAAGAAAAUUAAAAUAACCAUCUACAAAACAGACCAAAAAAAGUUCAGUUUUAUAUUUUUCUAAAACUGCUGUGUUUCAUAUUACCACAGCUUCCCAAAUUUCAAAUCCAGAUCAAAAUUUCUGUCAUCAAAGACUUUAGCAGUGGUCUGAUCUUUUUAUUUUUAUUUUUACUUUUUUUUUUUGUCCUUUUUUUUUUAUUAUUUAAAUCUGUUUUACUCUGUUAUUCUGAAGCUUCUGUGAGAUUUCCCCUAGAUUUUUUUUCCACAGGCAGAAGCCACCAUUUAUUUGCAUUUUAACCUAAGACUGGAUUUUGAACCUGAAAUUCAAGAUUACAUUCAAAAUACUGAUGUUUCCAAUCACAGAAAUAAUUAUCAAAUGUAAAGCUGAUCCAGAAUUAAUUUUGGAUUUGGGCCACCGUCAAAUUCCACAGGUUCUUAUAUCUGCUCCAGAUAGAUCAGGAAAAUGCUCUUGAAGCUUCAGGGCUAUGUAUAUGAACUUUCUUAAGCAAAGGAAAUGAUAAUGUAUAAGAGGAAGUAAAACGAUAAAAUAAAGUCCAGAAUUACAUAAAACAAAACCAAAAACCCAAACAAAAACCUGUGUGCACUUUAUAGACUGUAAGACUUGCUCUGCCAUUGCUGCUUGGGAGAAACAAGGCAAUGCAGGUCUAGUGAAAAUCAUCCAUCAACAAAACCUCUGCUCGAGCACAUCCUUUUUGCAGUUGGUGUUAGUUGAAAGUUAGUGUUUUCUCUCCAUGUUUUUACAUGCUUCAGCACCUCUUGGUUUAAAUAAGGGAGGGGAACACUCAAGUAAUAUCGUAUCUCUGAUUCUGUCAGGAGAAGGAAAUCCUGAAGACCUCACUCCUGAAAGUUUAUCUGAAAUAAGCCCUAUUUGAAGGUUCAUUCAACUUGCCUCAUUGUACAGCUGUUAUUAAUGUGAUUAAAUGACAGUGAGUACAUAUGUAAAAACCCAACCUCUGUUUCUUGUGUCUAUAAAUCUCAAUUCAAUAAAAAAGGAGAAAGGAUUCUUAAAAUCCAAAGAAAUAUCACAUAUAGCUCUUCUGCCUUUAUUUGGUAUGACAGCACUUUAUUUCCUUGAACAGACCAAUGUGGUGAAAAGGAUUCUAAAACAAUACUUCUGUAUAACCUAUCUGCUAAAGCUGCUGUGAAAUUCCAGUUUUGUGUAUUUAACCUCCCUGUUUUUAUCUUCACUGGAAUAAUUCUAAAACAACUUCAGUUGUUCUUCCCUAAAAAUUGUAAUCUCAUUAUUCUUUUUUUCCCCUCCCCUCUUUUUUCUCUUGUACAGUUAUCCAGUAUUCAGCUGAAAUGCAGAGUCAUUACAGCAGGAGGUGCUGAGCAGACUGGUGAUCUGGAGUGGUGAUGGUGAGCCAUGGUCCUGGGUGCCUCUUUGCUGCACUCUUUCUUCACAUUCCUGCAGCCUGGGUGGAUAUUGUCAUUUCUGCAGCACUUCAGAGACAUCUGAAGGGGAGCUUAUAGACAGUAUGUUGGGUGUUUUAAUGUGGUAAGAUGAUGGUCUGUGUCUGGAAAAGUUGCUAACAUGAGCUUGACAAAUAAUUUGUAGUUAAUAACUUAUUUUUUAUUUUUCACUUUCCUUUUUUUGGCAAAUAGUUUGCAGACUCAUAAAUUUGCUGUAAAUAACUCCUAAGAGCAGGAAGCAGUACAGCAUUUCUUGAAAAACUCAGAAUAGCAAAAGAAUGUGACAAAUUCAGUAGCUGAGCCAUCAGGAUACAGAGAGCAGGUAUCAAGCUGUGCCAUAUGUACAGUCACGGUUGGCUUGGAAAGUCUCCUCUCAUAAAACCAAAUUGUUCCACUAGGAAGUAAAGCCAGAAGCUUUUUGCCUACAAAAUUAAAUUGUUCUCUUUUUCCCAAACCAAUUGCAUUUUUGUUGUUGUUGUUGUUUUGUUUAAUGAAACACCAGGCAGAGUCUCAUUUUUCUCCUCCAGUUCUUGUCUUUUCCCUCUUACUUCACCCCUUCCCGGCCCACCUUCCACCUCAGGGUAGAAGGAAAAUCUCAUCUUCUUUUUAGGUUCUUUAUCUUUUCCUCUCUGAGACAGUGUCAUCUAACCCUCACUGCCUUCCACCACUGCAAAGUAAGGAGAAAUGGAGGGGGGACCUGGAGAAAUGGAGGACUUGAACUGCCCAGGUUGCUCAGCAGGUGACAGAGCUGAGCCCUGCAGACCCUAGCUCUGCAGAAAUAGCUCAAGCAAGCAAGAGAUUAGAUGCUUUAUUUCCCUACAGUGGUGCAUUUCAAUUGAUGCCUAAACUAAAAGGCAUCUAAGGAGAUAGGCCUGCUUACUGUAAAAUAGGAACUAAGAAGUCAUCAGUACAUAAAAACUGCCUUUGUCCUUAUGAAUAUGAAACUCUCUCAGCCUACGAAGCCUGUGGAGGAAUCAAAAGUUAACAUUUUCUCCUCUAUCCUUCUUCUGGGCAUUAGACUCUCCAGGUGUGUGGAAGAUAGCAUUGAUAGGAUUUGGUCUUUACUUGGUCUUAAUGCACUGUUAGGAUUCAUCAGAAAUAGUGAGGAAUCCACUGCCUGCUACUGUAGAACUGUUUUGCUAAUGCCUUCCUGUCUCAAACCAAGCCUUCCAAGGCUUCUUCUGUGCAGUGCCAAUCAGGUGCCCUUCUGGGCCAAUCCUGUCCAGCUACUGGGGGUACUAGUGUAAAGAUGAUGGGAAAAGAUUUCUCUGUGAUUUCCAAACAGAUAGGAAGUUGGGUUUAAUAGUGUAACGCAGACGGUGAUUUUGUUGUCUCAUUCAUGUAGUGUCCCUCAUGAUAAGAACAUUUGCCUUAGUAUGCACAUUGCUUUCUUUGAAGACUGCACACAGUGUGGAUUUGUUUUGAGUGUAUUCCUCCUAUGUCACUGCACAGUGUUUUACGCAUUACUUCAGUCUUUUGGUACCCAAGGAUUCAGAUCAGCCAGGAGAGAGCAGCCCUAGAACUAGAGGCAAAAUGCAUGCACAGUAUUACUGGCAAUACAAUAGUUAUUUCCUCUUCUUAGUACAAAGGGAGACCAGCAGCAUCUCAAACAGCAGUAUGUCUUCUUUCUGACAUGCUGCAGACUGAAAGGAGCAGCGUGCCUCCAUGGUCCUGUGCCACUGCAGCUACAGGUGUUGGCUGGGCAGCUGGGUCCUGCUCUUACUGUUGGAGAUCAAUGAGGAGCUGCCGCUACUGUCGUUUGCUUCCCUAGUUUCUGCAGACUCUCCGUGUCAGGUCUGGUAUCAGACUGGGAGCACUGGAGAAUAUACUCAAGGGGGCAGCCAUUCCCCAUACAAAUGUGCCGCUGGGGCAUGGCUCCCGGCAUUGUGGGGCAGUGGGGCUGCAUGGGAAGGCUCCCAUGGCUCCAAGUGAGAAACUGUUUUCUCUAUGGAAGUGACUUGGUUUGAGGAAAGGAGGAAGGAGAAUAGGGGAUGCACACACACACAAAAUAGUUGGGGCAAAAGGCAUAGAUGAUUUGAUGGGAACUGGGGUAGAUUUGAUCUCAGUGUGUGAGGAUACAGGCUGGUAUACGUACACAGGAAUGCCUUCUGUACUUUCUAAUAUAUUUAAUGUCACCAAUAACUGAUGGUGAGUCAAACAGAAGCAGAACUCAAUAAUAAAUAUUUUGAGCAUAAGUAGCCUACUGUGAGGCAGUUCUGAUGUAACAAUCUGUGCAAUUAACCAAAUUCUCUGUCUGUGAAUAUGCUGCCUUUCCAUAAAUGAGCCCCAUGUCUAGUAUUCAGAUUUAUCCUGCCCUUCACAUGUGGUCAGUGAGAUCAAUUAAUAGCAACCUCAAAGCAUGCUGUAUUGAGAUCUUUCUAUCUCUGCACGCCAUGCAGAAUAGUUGCUAUGUCUUGUAGCGGAUAUAGAAAAAAGUGGAAUCAUUCAUAAUUGCUAAAGGCCAUCAAGUAAAAAUUGCGUAUGACACUGAUGGGGUUGAAAUAUGGCCUUCAAAUGUUUUUGAUACAUAAAUGAUAGCCACAAAGUCAUUCCGAUCUUCUGCAGUGAUAUAAGAUGCUCUGAGAUGCAAGGAAAGAAAGCACGGCACUGAUAUAGACCAGCCUGUGUCUGUGCUUUGCCCCCAGAGCAGCCUGACAAGCAGAAGAGCAUUCUGCUGACCAUCUUUAGAGCCUGGCAGCUUCUUUUGUUACUGCCACAAUAAUAUUGCUCUUCAUACAGUGUUGGCUCAUUUGUGUUUUCAACAUGCAAAUCAAAGUAAAGCCAUUUUCCUCUGCUUCCCUCAAAAAACUCUUUAACCUCUUGAAUUUAAUAAUCAGCGUAAACGUAUGAAGAUAAAACAUACAAGAUGCUCAUGGUACAUCACUGCCACUUAGCAAGUGUCAUGUAUUUGUGAGCGUGCAUGUAAGGCAGAAAGAAAGCAUAUGUAUUUCUUGAUUCUGCUUUGGCUGUGCUGGUUUUGUGUCACCUCUUACAUAAAAUAAUAACAAAGUGAACACAACAUUGAUUGCAUUCAUUUGUAUCCGUGAAAGCAUUGAAAAGGAUUAUUUAUUUCUCUUUCCGUAUGUGGUCAAAACAAAAUGAUAAACAGCACAUAGGGAAUAUUGAGUGUCUCUCUCUCACACACACAAAAUAAAUAAAUAAAUAAAUAAGAGGGAGAAAAAAGAGAUGCAAUAUAUCUCUCAGUAAAAAUGUAGAAUUAGGGAAAAAAUAAAAAAGAUUGUAGGCAGUAAAUAGACAUCAAUUCCUCUGACUACCACAAUAGAAGCUAACACCCUGGGUGCUAUCUUUUGUUAAGAGGCAUCAAAUUGUUACGUAAUUUAACAGCCCAAUUGGCAAGACACAUUUGAGCUAAAGUAAGGUGUGUGUACAGUUUGUCAGAUUCCAGGAAUAAUCAUUUGAUGCUAAUCCUUUUACUUUUCACAGCCGUCUUUACACUAUACUUUCCCUUCAUGUUUGCACUAUCUGAAAUUGUUGGGUGGCUACAAGUAUAUUUUUUGCAUGCAUGUGAUAAAUUUAAUUCAUAAUUAACCACCCAGAUUAAGACAUCUAGGCAGGCUGAAGAAUCUUCAGAUGUCGUUAAUUGUUUUCUGUGGUAUGUGCUCCUUUUAAAGUUUUAAUCAUCACCGAUUGAAUCUGAGGACCUCUUUUUUUAUAUAUGUAGGAUUGUUUUUGCAAACCUACAAAUGGGUUGCAAUGAAAUAGCUGAGCUUUUCAGAUAUUGUAAUGGGGAAAGAUGCAGUCAUUUCUGUAUACCCCUUUUUGGGACACUGUGUUAAAACGACGUGAUUAGAGUACAUACGGUGGCAUGUAUGCUUGCUGUUGUUUCAGAUGCAUUGGGCAUUUAUUAAGAAAGAUCAUCUCUGAGCACUGCUGACAUACCAGCUCUUUUUUUUUUUUUUUUUUAGGUGCUAAAAUAAAGCUGAGGUCUUUUUAAACUCUGGAGAAUACUGAGCACUUGAAAAUGUAUCUGUGAGCUCAUCUGAAAGUUUGGUCCAUAAUGAGAAAGCAAUGCAAGUAGCAAUAAUGUGACACUUCAUUAAAAACCUUUUGAAUAUAAAGUAUUAUGAAUUGUGAUUCUUACAGAAUUGCAGAAAAUGUGCUUUUUAUUACGGGACAGCAUGUGACAUCCACACAUCAACAGAACCCUUGGAAAAAAAAAAAAUCUGACUGCUUCCAAAGUAAAUCACUGCUUAGCAGAUGUAAAAUCAGCACCAGCCGAUCCAGCAGUGCCUUUCCAAAGUAUGUAACGUCGUGUCAUUUGAAAAUGCAAAGCAGUUGUUUCAACGUGGAAUUUCUAUUCCCAAGGACCUGGUGAAUGGGGAUUUUUGCUCCUUCGAUUAGAGGAUUUGCUGUCUGUCUAGCUGUAUUUUCCUUGGCUUCGGCGUAUUGCAGCUAGGUCAAGGUAUGUGUGGAAGACCAGGAGACAAAGUGAUUUAUCAGAGGUGAUUUGCUCUUUGCUGGUGACAGACCAUCUGCAACUUCUUGGAAGCUCACGGUGAGAAGAGCCAUUGCUACUGCUGUUAAAAUGUGUUGUGUAUAAGAGUAGUGGGAAGUGCAAAUGACUCAUUUCUUAAUUAGAAACGAUGCUAAUGUUUUAGGUUUUCCCCAAAGAUGAAAUGGCCAAACACACAGUGCUGCACCUUGUGCAGGUGACUGCUGCCUCUCCCCGUGCCAUGGGUGCAGGUACUGCUGCAUUGCAAGCAAAUCCAUAUCAGUACUGCAGUAUGUUUCUUGCUCCGCAUUAGAAGUCUUUGAAGGGAAAACAUGUGUUAUUAAGUAAUAUCAGGAUUAUUGAUAUUGUCUGUUUGAACCACAUUAGCAUCUGCUCAGUAAUCUCUAAACGCUGUUACAUUUCAACAGUGUACUGUAACAAAUUAAAGUGAAACUUAAAUAUAUGUUUGAUAGGAUCCCAGUUGUGGAAUGCGUUUCAGCCCUGUUUUCAUUAUUCCUCAGUGUAUACCUUGCUGAAAAGCGUUAUUCAUCCCCAUUAGACAAAUGUAGUCGGAAUUGUUGCAAUUACGUGCCACACAUCAGCACUUGCUUGUUUCCUUUCUUAUUAGAAAUGCGAUGUGCACUGAAACCUGGUAGCAUCUGAAAGGGUGAAAACAGGUAUCAAAAGCAAAUGAAAGAUUUCAUAGAAGAGUACUAGAGCAUAUCUUGCAAAGCAUCACUUCGCAGAGCAGAUCUACAGAAGCUGGACCCAGGCACAUAUUUUCAAAUGAAGCCCCCUGGCACACUGAGGCUGCUUUUUGUGACCUAAUGGUGUUUUUAAAUGGAUGGAUUUAACUAGAGAGGUUUUCUUGCACAUGACCUUUAAAAGAGAAAAAGAACAAUGUUAGCAUUCAACCCAAACCCUGUAGUCUGUCACUUUGUAUACCAUAUCAUUACUAGCAAAAUUUAAAGGAAAACUGCACCCAUUUUGCUCAGCCCAGCAAUAGGAAAGUUCACAGGCUAAGAAGCACUUGUCACCAUUUUUUAAAUUACAAUUGGCAUUCCCGAGGAGGCAGCCAUUUUACUGAAAUAUGAUCCAUCUAUUCUCCCUCUGCCAGGCUGGCCAGGCAGCCAGUAGGAUUAUGAAUCUGACACACUUCUGGUGGGGAAGUGCCACCUGAAUUGCAAAACCAUGCAAUUGUCCAGAGAUGCUGCUCUCCCUUCAUGGUGAGCAGGGUGGCACGUGGAUAACGAAACACAUUUCCUCCUCCGGAAGAAAUCAAGCUGUUGCAGUGUGAGUUUAGACAAUCCCAUGAGAAGUUUGGUAUGCUAGGGCUUUUUCAUGAUUGUGCUUUUGCUUUUUCUGAAUGCGCCCUUUGGUUAAAAUCUACUGAUACCUUGGAUGGAGUGGUUAAGAAAGCAUAUUUUCACCUGGAAAGAAAUCAUAAACCAACAGUGAUGUUGAUGGGAGCUGCUAAAAGAGCAACCUUGUGCCCCUAUUUUGUUCCAGUGUCCUGAUAAUUUGCAGCAAUCCUGCUGGACACGCAUUUUUGAAGGCCAACUUUUUUGCUUCUAAUGUUCUACUUUUUUUUAGUUUAUGUUGUUGCAUGUAUGGACUCCAAGUAAAACAGAGUUGUCGGCUGUUCAGUAUUGCAAACACAAAAUGCAACUCUGACUCUUCCAUGCGGAGCUCACAGUCUAGGUGAACAAGUCAGAGAAAAAGUUCCAAAGGAACACCACACAUUAAAUGAGCAAUGGUUGGAAGAGACCAUGAAAUGAAUGAUAUGCAGGUUAAAUAACUCGUGUCACAUGAGUUGCCUAGCUUUGAUGUGCUGUUCAUGCCUUGUGUUGUGCAGAAGAUCAGAAUGCUGUACCUUGACCUUCUGGAGUUCAUUGCAGUUCAUCUUCAGUCCCACGUUCAGCAAAUUGCUGAAAAAGGGAGCAAGUGUGUAGCUCACCAUGACUCAGGCUGUACCCGCUGGGAAGAGGUGUGACCUCAUGGACAGCUGACAUGGAAGAAAGAAUAUCAGACUGUGGAUACCAUUUGGAAACCCAAGAACACCACCACCUUGACAUAAAUCCACAUAAGCCAGAGGAAUUAUAGCUUUUGUUUCCUUGGAAAAAGAGGGGGAAAAAAAAAAAAGAGAAGAGAAGAGAAGAGAAGAGAAGAGAAGAGAAGAGAAGAGAAGAGAAGAGAAGAGAAGAGAAGAGAAGAGAAGAGAAGAGAAGAGAAGAGAAGAGAAGAGAAGAGAAGAGAAAAAAAGAAAAAUAACAUAAAAAAAAGAAAAAGAAUGUCCAUUUGAAUAAACAGUGAUAAUAAUUUUAUCUGAAUAAAUCUUUAAUAAAUUGAAAUUAUUACUGCAGGCUUAAAUAAGCGGUAAGAUUUGACAAGAAGGGCAUUAUCAUCUAAUUAUACUUACUUUAUGAAAGAGAGGGGCAAGGGCCAACCUGUGAGCUGUCUGAACUGCAGUAAUAGAGUGAUCCCCUCUGCAGACUAAAGAAGGAGCCAUCAGACAACAAUAACACACAAGCGGUGCACUGAACGUUGCAGUGGAAACCAUGAUUCACAGAUACACUGUCUUAAUUGUUACGGAAGCGAGUAGAGUGGUACGGAAAGUGCAUGGCAGAGCAGCCUUUGCUGGAUGGAUGAGAGGAUCCCGUGCCAGAUAUUAUAUGAUACUCCUGAAGGUUUCUUUAAUUAUCAGCAGUCAGUGCUGUGUGUGAGCUUCCUAUUGGCUCAGCGCUCAGCAUAAAGCCGCGUAUCUGCAUUGCAAACAGGUGUACAGGUAGAACUGGUACGUAAAUUACCUUCUUCCUGAGGGCAUCUGCCUUCCUAGGAACACUUAAGAAAUGCUGAGAAGACACCUGUGAGCGGCUCUAUUGGUGUCUCAUAUUCUGCUGUUGGCACUGGAUUAUAAAGAGCUGUGCCCACUGAAACAUCUUGCCUUUCUCAUACGAGCAGUGGGAAAAAACAGGGAAUCAAUAAACGGAAAAAUCAUUGCCUGCUAAUGUUCACAAUCUCUUUGAACGUUGGAUUUGUUUGGCAAAUAGGACUGACUUGUUUAAAACCUCCACAUGAGACAUUUAUUUCACAGAGAGCAAAAAAGAAGAGUGAUCAUCAUAAUCUGCUGGAAUUAACAACCUAGCAUAGCUCUUGGCUUAGAUUAACUGCUGCAUUUAUGGUGUACUCCAAAAAGCAGUUCUCUUGUGUAUGUACAGACUGUUUUGUUUUGCAUAUUUACAUUUUUUAUUUAUGAACUGUUAAUCUCAGCCCUCCCUAGAUUAUGUCCUUAUGAUACAUAUUUUUUCAUACUCACCUGGCGACAUAUGAGCUUUUCUCAUUAGAAUCUUGUCUCACUUAGCACUUAGGUUGGAACAACACCAUGCAGCAGGGAAAGGCACUGUCUUUCAUCCCCUGCAGAAGUCCAUCCAUCCUUCUCAGCCCUCGUAGACAGGCCUGAGCCAUUUUGGUCACCGCAAGCAAGGAGCUCCAGGCUGCGGUGGGGACAGCACACACACAGGCAGGACAGUGAGGGAGUGCAGAACUUUGGGAGGCUCUUCCAGAGCUGCACAAUGAAGAGAAGGCCAUGGACAAAGUAAUGACUUCUCCACUCUGUCUUUUGAAAACAGCUUGGCAACUCUGGUGGGAUCAUCCCCAAACAGUGCAGCAUGCAGCAGAUAUUGAGCAGGUUCAUUGAGGCCAGACUCUGAUAUCAAAGGUGAUAUGAGUGACUGACAUGGCCACACCACCACGGCAGCGUGGAGGGCUAUGGUCACACACACUCCCCCAUUGUUUCCCAGGAGCAGUCAUAUCUCACCUUACCUCCCAGGGCUCAGAAGGAAGGCUAGAAAUAGAAACAUAUUACAGAUGUGCACUGGGGAUGUGGUUGGGCUUAGUUUCUGUUCCUUUCCCCGUUGCAAGGGCUAAGCAUGCUUUUGCAUUUCUGAAGGCUGGGACUGGCCGCUGUGAGCAUAAAUCAUGAUGGUAUGGUAAAAAACUGUGAACAGCGAGGUCCUUAAAAAAGAGAUGUUCAGACACCUUCAUCUGAAGUAACAGAAGAUGCCCCGCAGUUACUGUACACACUAGGUGUCAGUUUGCCUAGAUGUUGCUGCUUUCAUACAGCCUUUGGUACUUAAAUUCUCUCAUUUUGUAUAUAAUUCCCUAUAACGUGCCAACACUGCAGCCAAUAUAACUUCAUGUCUUUUUUCACUUGUGCCAGAAAGCUGAACAAGUGGGAUGAGGUUACGCUAAGCAAGAAGGAGAUCACUGGCAAGAAAGAUCUCAAAAGUUCACAGAAAAGCAAGAGAAAAAGAGACACAAAAAGAUCUUGUCAAGAAGAAUGCUCAGAGCACCAAGUUAUAUCUCCCUCGACAUAAACACAUACAGACAAAAAUGACUCACUGUGAGUCAGAGAGAGGGGUUUUAUUUACACCACAGAACUUGGAAAUAACAUUGCUGCCGAUUCUGUUCUGUUCAGUGAUGGUGGGUAUAAGCACAAGGCUGCUAACACUUCUGUAUGAAUCAACGUUUUAAAAUCACUCCUCCCUUCAGUCAGAACUGUUUUCUCGCUUAUGUGAAUUAACCUACCGAACUGGCACAUGAAAUAGUCUGUUUCAGUAUCUAUUACUGAAUAUGUUUUGGCCUGGAUCCCUACAGCAGUUAGGAGCUUGAGUUGUACUGAAAUCACUGAGCAGAGGGGGAAAAAGAAAGUAUUAUUCCUGCUCUUUUCUCUGAGUAACUUUCAGACCAUGACCUGUGGCCAAGCUUUGUGGGAGAAUCUGUCCUGGCACCCUCCUCCAUGGAGGUCCUGUGUGUGGGACACAGCAGUGAGGGAGAAGCAGGGCUGGGAGGUGCUGUGAGCAUGGGACAGAAUACACCUGGAUAGAAUACGUCCCUACUCUUUGUGAGGAGUGAACUGAGAUGUGCUCAUCUUUGACAAGGUGGAUACAUUUCUCCUAGAAAGAAAACACUUUUUGAUCUAGAAAAAACAUCUGAGCUGCUGAGAAAUAUUUUGAUAGAUGUUUCGUUGCCAUCCCUACCAGUCAUUCAUGUCCAACAUGUCCCCUGCCGCCAUAACAGAACAGCAAUACUUCACAAUGGCAAGUCCAGAUGCAUUUUGAAUGGGUGCUCUAUGGCUGGUGAUGUCUCCUGCUUGCCUCCCAGCUCCUACAGCCCCCUGUAAGACAGCAUGGUGAUGAGUCUGUUGUUGGAAUUUGGGACAGGCAGGGGACAUCACACAUUCGGCAGUAGAAAAGCUUUUCUUCUGUUCUCCUACAGAGGAACUCUCAACAAUUAUUUUUUUCUAAACAAAAUAUGAAGUUUGGGGCAAAUAUUUAGGGUGCAUUCAGAUGCCAAGUGUAAAGAGUGGGUGAGAAGGUGUGAUGUCUACAAACAGAGCCAGUACGCAAAACACUCAGUUAUGGACAUGGCCAAGGUAAAUAGGACUGCUGAAACUGUCUUAGCCCCCCACCGUCCUCAUGUGUGGGUUUAUAUGUGCCAGCAGAGCCAGGUUAACCUUAAUUGUGUGUUGUUUAACUUGGCUGUAAACGGCCAACCCUUUUUCUAACUUGGCUCCAAUUGCAGGUAUCACACCUUUCCACUACUGACCUUUCUUGUCUAAAUUGUUUUUUUAAUGCAUAUUAAAUAUUUUUGAUCUACUUUAAUUUCCUAUGGCUUUUUACUGCAGAAAAUGUUACAGAAAAUAUUUCUUCUGAUAGAAAGACAUAUUUUAAUAGCAAAAGUCUUACGUUCUCAAUAGCUGGGCAGGUGAGCAGGUUGUAGAAUCUGGUUCUUUCUGAAGGAAGUAGUGUCAGAAAACCUCACUGAAAUCUGAUGUACUGUUUUUUUCAGUGCAUUCAUUGGCAGAAGUAACAGGAGUGCAACUUCGUCACAGCUGCUAACUUACGCUACUGUCUGGCGGACUCCCCUGUACUGCACCCUGAUGUCUGCACAGAAGCAGAACGAUGUUUAUGGAAGCAGAUCAUAGAACCAUAGAAUGGCCUGGGUUGAAAAGGACCACAGUGAUCAUCGAGCUUCAACCCCCUUGCUAUGUGCAGGGUCGCCAGAUGAAUCAUUGCUGAGGUCCUACUGGUACCACAGUUAGUUUUGCAAAAACUGUAUUCAAGGUGGAAAAGAGUGGAAAAAUAAUUUGGAAUUCCUGAAAACUGGAAUGUUAUUCUGGUUCUCAUCAUUUUAAUCCCCACUGAGCCCAUCUUCUGUAAUAGAUGUCUUCUGCUAAUUAUUCCAUUGCCAGUUCAAGCUAUAAUUUUAGAUCACUCUGAGCAAGAGGUAUUAUCAGCUGAUUUGUUGGGACAGCUCUGAAGUGAAAGGAGCAGUGUGGUGGUGUGAUUUCAUCUAGUGCCUCCAGGUUAGCAUCUGAAAGCAGCAGCACUCCAGCCAUGAUUUGUUUUAAACCAGACUUAGUCUUCGUGCACUUUCUUGCUUAAAGUAUGGUAAAUAAAGGGCGAGCAUUUCUAAGGCACAGAGGGUAACUCUUCCACCGAACACCGGUGUAAGUCAUGUGUACAAUUCCCAUUUUGCUUUUUUGAAAGCACACGUCUCUGCUUUGCCCAUGUGCACACCCCACAUUCCCAUUCAACCCUCUGCACACAAUGUAAUUUCCUUCCAGUAUGACAAACCCUCUGCUGUAGCUGAAAUACACCGAGGGUAUUUUUGUCAAGCUGCUGAGACCAGGUUCUCCACUCCACUCCGCACUCGUGGGGUGAUCAGAUCCUGAAGUUAGCAGAGUCGCAUAAGACCUUAUUAGCCACUGCUGCAGGCGCUGUCUGUGUGCUCUAAAAACAACCAUGAGAACAGCAACUCAGCUGGGGAGAGCAUAUGCAACAGCCCUUUAAUCAUUGCGUCGGCUCAACAUGUCAUGAUGCGUAAGCUUUCUCAUCAAUGAGGCUGGGAACACAAAACCAGAGAACUUCUUAAAUAUUUCAAACAUCUGCGUCUCAUACUACCAAAUUACCAACAAAAAGGGGGGAAAAAAAGAGGAAAAAAAAAAAAAAAAGGAGGGAGAAAGGGAGAAAGAAAGAAAAACAUCUCCUGGAUCAAAAGUGUCCCUUAUCAGGAAAUGAAGGACAGGAACAAAAAUACCCUCCUCCUCCAUCUCCUCCUCUUCUUUUCCCACCUCAAACUCGACGACAGAAUUCUUUCAUCUGACGGCUCCCUGUAAAACGAGAGCGGGGUGUUUACAAACGGGGCUGCCCAGUGCACACCGGCAGGAUGCAGCCCGGCAGCCCCAGCACAGCAGCGGGCGGCGCGGGGGGAGCAGCGGCCACAAGGUGUCUCUAUGGGUGUCUGUGCGGGAUGCGCUGCGCCGAGGGUUUCAAACGCCUUCCCAUCCCUCCCUGCCCGCUCUCUGCAGACACCGAACCCUCAAACUCUUAGGAAAAGGGAAUGCUGUAUAAAGAUUUCUUGAUUUUUGUUUUAAAUCACAAGGAAAGGCGGGUGGACCUGGCUUAGGUCUUGGGCUCUGUGCCUUAGCCAGCUGUAUAUUCUCCUCUGUACUUAGGCAGAGAAAGCGCAGCAGUGAGGAUAAGUGUUUGCUGAGAACACCGAAGGAAUUAGUUUCAGAGGUGGGAGAGGAAGGCUGGCAUCCCCCAGUCCCAGGCAUGUGUGCUGCAGACUGCUGCAUUUUGGCUUGGCUGGGGUUUAAGGCUCGCCACUGAGGUCAUGCAGGAAAUGCAACGCUGAUACCAUUUUGCAGGAGCUCUCCAUUGGCACGAUCCACGUCUCUGAGAAUACAACAGUCCAUCACUAAUCCGAUCAUCUUUCUGUGACUGAAGGGUCCAUGCAAUUAUAAAAAAAAAAAAGGGGGGGGGGGGGGGGGGGGGAGAUGAUUUGAAUGCUGUAUCCCUCAUGUGGAAUUACGUUUGGACUUUAUCCAAAGAGACAGGGAAGGGAUUUUGUUGUUUUGUUUGAUCACUUCUUGCCACGGAACUUUGUUUGACUCGAACCACAAUGAUACAAGCAUUCAAACACCACCUUCAGAUGUAAUAUUGAUUUAUAAAACAGCAGCGCACAGCUGCUGAAUUUCACUGUUGCAUGCAGAAGGUCUUCAACUCCCAACGAAUUACUGGCAUUUUUACCUAUUUACAAAUUAAUUUUUCCUCUGAACUUUGUGUGUUUCUUAUUAUUCCAGUCUGCUUUCUUUAGUUUCUGCUUAGAAACCUUGCACGAGUGCAUUAUGCAGUGAUAGGGCAGCUUUAGAGCAUCAGUUAAAUUGGAGUUAAACAAAAAAAAUCUAGAUCAACUUUUUAUCCUUAGGCAAGUUAUGCACUGAGUAAAAUUAAACCACUGUAUGUACUUGUAAAUCGAAGAACCAGGGGUGGAGGAUGGGUCAGAAACACUAAGAUCAAAGUUUUCCCUCUUUGAAAAAAAUCCCUUUGAAAAGCCCCCAUGCCACCUAUUCUGCUUGUUAAUGUUUUGACUGGAAGUGUCUGGCAGUGUCAUCAUCAGCAGAAUAUUUUUAAAGAGGUUUUUUUUUUCUUUUUUUUUUUUUUUUUUUUCUCAGAGCUGGCUCUAAUAGCAAACCUAUGGAUCCUUAGCAGCCUCUGUUAUAUGUCUCUUAGGGGAAUAUUUUUGUUAAUUGCAAAUAUUUGAUUGACAAACAUGGGAUGCAAUUAGUAGGCAGGCACAGUAGGAAUGUGCAGUGAACUGGAUCUCUGAACCAACAGAUCUCAACUCUCUCAGCUUGAUCUGAAAUAGGCUAGAGCAUUUAAACCAUAUGUUUCCCUCAAACUUUUUCUAUCCUCUGAAAAUUCCUUAUUUCCCUCAACUAACCUCCUCUCACUCUCUGCACCAAGGGAGCUAAUUCAUCUACUGUGAUCGCGUCAAAUAAAGACAGAAAAUUCUACACAAGCUUCAGACUUAUGCCGCUUUUUGACCGUGGCAGUAAAAAUUAAUGUGGACAAGACUAUACAUGCCAGUUGUGCCUCACAAAAGCCCUAGGUGAAAGAGAAUACAAUCUAAUUUAACUUUAGACAUUUUGAGCUUAAUGGUCUAUUUAAACAACCUGGUACCAUCUGACUACAUUUAUCAAUUAUAUUUCUUUUUAUUUAUACAGAGUACUGUCUUUCUGGGGAGGCUAUAAUUAAAACUUAUCUAGAUAAAUGGUGCUCGGAUUCUGCAGCAUGAGCAAGAAUUCAAAGGACAUCGGUGUUUUUAUGUGCUCUUUUCCAUAAAAAGUUUAAAGGGAAAUACAUUUCAAUAAUUAGAAUAACCUAAUUGCACGAGUUUUUAUAAUUACAUCUAGAAGUUAUCAGCAGGAAAUGCCAUGUGGUCUGCAGACUGUGGUGUUGACAUCCCAGAAGAAGCCCUUUCUGACCGAGCAGUGCCUUUUCUCAUGGGGUAGGCUGCUUGUUGCUCCCUUCUUAUGGCAAAGUCCCUGAAGGGAAAGCUAUCCCUCAGAAAUACACUGGCUCUUAUGGUUUGAGGACAUUCCGAGCUCUCUGGCUGGGGUGUCAGAAUGACCCCCACUGCAGGUGGCUCCACUCCCCGCUCAGUGUGUGGUGCAGUGUCAGGGUUCUAUUCUUUGCAGGUCAAUUGUAAGAGUCCAUUUCCCAGAUACUGAGAAGUACAGACCCCAUUGGGCAACUUUCUGCAGCUGGAGUAGUUGUGUUGGCAACAUAGACAGGUUUUGUAGGGGGUGGUGUUGCAUUGUCAGGGGGCAAUCAGAGGGAACGGAGAGGUCACCUUCUCCUAACUAUUGUUUUUAGUGAGUGGAAUCCACCAGUCUUACCAUGGCCUGAUGUUAGUCAUGGAAGACCUCCAUCUUUGAGUGCUGUGGCAUGCAGCCAUAUGGGUAGCAUGAGUUCAUAUGUACGUCCACCAUCACACUCCAUGAAAGCACGUAUAUUCAUAAAAGCACAUGAAGGUGCUGAUGAAACUCUGCUCAUUUCUGAAGGGCCCAAACCCCCCAGUAUUUCUCCUACAGGGAACUGCUCCCGUGAUUAAGGCUGACUCACGUAAGUGUUGCAAGAUCCAGCCUUUAAUUUGCAAAUCCCAAUAACGAUAUAUGUUAAUCAGACACUUCAUCAGUGAAAAGAGUCCUAGAUCUGUAGUACGGUGAGGCUAUAAAUAUAAGCUAGAUUCCUUUAAAACUCCCUUGCAGAAUUUUGUCCCUAGAAGGGAAAGUGUUAUCUUGGUGCUGUCUGAGUCCUGACUAUAAGAUUUCAAACUCAUUAUAAGCAGCCCCACAGAACUAGCAAAACAAUUAUUUCCGACUGUAACACUUCGUGCCGCGUAUCUGUAACCCUCUUACUGAAGCAGGAUUUAACAGAGACAUUCACACUGCACUCUUUUUAGGAGGUUGGGCAGUAUUUUUACAGAAGGGCAGAUGAGGAAGGUCCACUGCAAAGCCACAGUAAUUUAGACAGAACUGCCUGAUGAGCAGCUUUGGUGUACAACAGAGAUGUGAAUGCUGGACCAGGUGCACGCUUGGACUUGCCGAGGUCGCCCUCAGUGGGACCAGUCCCCUGCAGAUAAUUUUUUUCCACACUGGAGCCGCUGUUGUGUCUCUCUGUUCAAGCGCUUGACAGAAAAUGUCCACAGUCGGGCUGUGCAUAAUGUAUACUGUCAAUUUGUAUGAUCUUUCAGUGCAACCGUGUGAAAGGGGGACUCUGUCUCAGGUUUUCCCUUCGCAGCACCACAGUUUAAAUGUUACUGUUUUGUCAUGUUAAUGUAAUUCACUUAAAAUACUUAAAUUGUCCUUAGCUAAUUGGGGAGGGGGAGAUGAUUAUUGUGGCAAACUCGUAGCAUGCGGUGUUCAGAGCGGUGCUGACACCAUUUUGGUGAACACAGGUGAUGAAUGGUGUUGACAUGAGCGGCUGCAGUUACACAGUGUGCGUAUACACAAAUUAUACCACCAUGUGUGUUCCUCUCUGUUAUGAAAGCCUUUUGUUUAUAUAUACCCAGCUAUACAUUUACACAUUAUGUAAAUAAACACACAUAUGCCCAUGCAAUUUAAUUGAAUAUAUGUCUGUGGGUUAAGAGGCAUGUUACUCUGAUGAAAACAUCUUAUGGUACCAAGUAAAAAUAUUUCCAACGUGCUUCUGAGCCUCCUGUAGAAUUUAAGAAGGAACUGCAGAGCUUUCCUUAAGGUAAUGUUUAGAGUCAUUCAACGCGAGGGCAUGGCGUUCUUCCAAAACCUGUAGGCUGUUGAAUGGCACUCUUAGAAACCCAUGAGGUCUCAUUUUUACUCAGUUCCGUCUAGCCUUACUCAGCUAUGAGCUUUGCCAUCGAGCUUUGGUUCAUGCACAAUGGAACGUUAUGUUCAGAGUUUUGUCUCAGAUUAGGUAUGUGCUCUUCGAGCAGUGUCCGUGUGGAUUAGUCCUUCCAAACACCACCUCCCUAAAACCAGCACAACACCUACGGGUGGCACGGAGUGUGCAACUCCAGCUACAGUGAGUCAGCUUUGGGGCUGGGCGGCAGGGAACUGGGGAGGUGGUCUCCUGUUGGAAAAUGCCUUGGGGAGCUGCAGGGGG